CCGCACGGUUCUCCCCUACCAAGACAGACAGAGAAGAAGCCGCAACAGAUGCAAUAGUCGUUCUUUCCGAGGCACAAGGCAACCCGACGGGGCAAUGAAGGGGGAAAACCCCACGCCCACAUAACUUUCCGCAUCCGAAAGCACAAGCAACAUACACAUGGGCCAGCGCAGCCAGGACAUGGCGUGCGUGGAACACGUGCACCACUACAAGGUCUGCCCCGUGCUAUGACAGGCAAAGGGUAGAUAGGGGCCAGGGAUCAAUUCGAUUUCCACCGUAGUGGGUAGCCAACACAGGAACCAAGCAUCACCACGAAACAAAGUUUCGGGUAUUUGUAUAUGAAGGGAUCGCGGGAAAACAGUUCGGUGCGCGAAGCAUGGAGCCUGCCUUCCCAAACGAUCUUAACACCACUCACGCGC
rnacentral:misc_RNA from 1 species